rnacentral:rRNA from 1 species
AUGCAAACUGCUGAUGGCACAAACCAGCCUGUCAUAGGGGUUGGCACAGUCAAGUGCACUCCGACCAUCUCCCUAUCCUCAGUGUUACAUGUACCAGCUUUUCCUGUCAAUUUGGUCUCUUUCAGUGCUCUAAUUGAUCAAAUUGACUGUCGUGUGAUCCUUGACAAAUUCGGUUGCGUGAUUCAGGAGCGCCAGACGAGCCAGACGGUUGGGACUGGCACCAGGCGUAGGGGGCUUUGGUACAUGGACCAGGAGGUGCAGCCGGACUUGGUGUGUGCUGCGACCAUGGAGGACAAGGAGAAGGAGGCGAUGAUCCAUCACUGUAGGAUGGGACAUGUAUCUUUUGAUAAGAUGAGUAGAAUCUUUCCGGAUGUUAUGUGUGGGAUAGGCAAGGGCAAGUUGACAUGUGAUGCUUGC